rnacentral:rRNA from 1 species
GAUGAACGCUGGCGGCGUGCCUAAUACAUGCAAGUCGAGCGAAUGGAUUAAGAGCUUGCUCUUAUGAAGUUAGCGGCGGACGGGUGAGUAACACGUGGGUAACCUGCCCAUAAGACUGGGAUAACUCCGGGAAACCGGGGCUAAUACCGGAUAAUAUUUUGAACUGCAUGGUUCAAAAUUGAAAGGCGGCUUCGGCUGUCACUUAUGGAUGGACCCGCGUCGCCUUAGCUAGUUGGUGAGGUAACGGCUCACCAAGGCAACGAUGCGUAGCCCAGCUGAUAGGCUGAUCGGCCACACUGAGACUGAGGCACGGCCCAGACUCCUACGGGAGGCAGCAGUAGGGAAUCUUCCGCAAUGGACGAAAGUCUGACGGGGCAACGCCGCGUGAGUGACGAAGGCUUUCGGGUCGUAAAGCUCUGUUGUUAGGGAAGAACAAGUGCUAGUUGAAUAGGCUGGCACCUUGACGGUACCUAACCAGAAAGCCACGGCUAACUACGUGCCAGCCGCCGCGGUAA